ensembl:Mt_tRNA
AAGAGGGUCAUAAAGGUUAUGGGGUUGGCUUGAAACCAGCUUUAGGGGGUUCAAUUCCUUCCUCUCUUG